UAAGGAAUAUUGGUCAAUGGGCGCAAGCCUGAACCAGCCAUGCCGCGUGCAGGAAGACGGCCCUAUGGGUUGUAAACUGCUUUUAUCAGGGAAUAAACCCCCGCUCGUGAGCGGGGCUGAAGGUACCUGAAGAAUAAGCAUCGGCUAACUCCGUGCCAGCAGCCGCGGUAAUACGGAGGAUGCAAGCGUUAUCCGGAUUCAUUGGGUUUAAAGGGUGCGCAGGCGGAUUGGUAAGUCAGGGGUGAAAUCCCACAGCUCAACUGUGGAACUGCCUUUGAUACCGUCAGUCUAGAGUAUAGUUGAAGUUGGCGGAAUGUGUCAUGUAGCGGUGAAAUGCUUAGAUAUGACACAGAACACCGAUCGCGAAGGCAGCUAGCUAAGCUAUAACUGACGCUCAUGCAA
rnacentral:rRNA from 1 species